GUGGCGGGUAGGGGGCUGGGUGGCGCGGGAGAGGGCGGCAGAAGGAGGGAGUUCGAAGAGAAUUACCGCCAGAGAGAGUGGCAGGAGCCCGCGGUUUCCUUGGAGACACGCUGACCAAUGGCAGCAGCGGAAGCUGUUUAUGGGGGCGGAGCGUCGCCAUGGCAGCAGUAGAAGCCUUCUGAGCGACUACUUAAUACCGGUCCCGGGGCCGCUGGCGUUCAGAGAGGCGCCGUCGGGCGUGGGGGGGACGACGAGGGUUGCUGGCAGGGUCCUCGAGCUGGGGGCAGAGAGCCGCGGGGAGUGGCAGGACCUUCUUCCAGAACCUUCCUUUGGCCCGAGCUGCGCUCUGAGCCAGACACCACAUUCGACUCGGAGGAGGCGACCCCCGGGGUCGUGGGAUGGAAGCGCGCUUCCGGGAGCCUGUGUAACUGGAGCCGCGGGAGUCAGCGGGCCGGAGAGCGCCACCCUCGGCUCAGCUCGUGGAUGUUGACCGCCCCCUCAGAGAGUCCCCGCAGAUAUGGCGGAGAGCUGGCUACGCCUCUCGGGAGCAGGGGCUGCGGAGGAAGCCGGGCCGGAGGGCGGCCUAGAGGAGCCCGAUGCCCUGGAUGACAGCCUGACCAG
rnacentral:lncRNA from 1 species